GAAGGAGAAGAAGAGGAAGAGAAGCUCAGCGCCCUCGUCCUUGCUCGCCACCGUUGCCUUGCCGCCGUUCGUCGCCGUCUACCACCGCUCCUCCUAACUCUGUUAGGCUUGAAAAUGGAAGAAAUGAAGAAGUUUGUCGAAGAAAUGCAUCAAGCACAGAGGGGACCAUGAUUCCUUGCGGCCUAAAGUUGGUGUAAUAUGGCGUACACGGCUGUUAGGAGACGAACUUUUUUUUUUUAUUUCUCAUUUAGUUUUUUUUCAAACAUUUACUAUAUUAUGUACUUUUACGAACAUUCGCAAAC